UUUAGAGUUUGGAUCAUGGCUCAGAUUGAACGCUGGCGGCAGGCCUAACACAUGCAAGUCGAACGGUAGCACAGAGGAGCUUGCUCCUUGGGUGACGAGUGGCGGACGGGUGAGUAAUGUCUGGGGAUCUGCCCGAUGGAGGGGGAUAACUACUGGAAACGGUAGCUAAUACCGCAUAACGUCGCAAGACCAAAGUGGGGGACCUUCGGGCCUCACACCAUCGGAUGAACCCAGAUGGGAUUAGCUAGUAGGUGGGGUAACGGCUCACCUAGGCGACGAUCCCUAGCUGGUCUGAGAGGAUGACCAGCCACACUGGAACUGAGACACGGUCCAGACUCCUACGGGAGGCAGCAGUGGGGAAUAUUGCACAAUGGGCGCAAGCCUGAUGCAGCCAUGCCGCGUGUAUGAAGAAGGCCUUCGGGUUGUAAAGUACUUUCAGCGGGGAGGAAGGUGGUGAGGUUAAUAAGCUCAUCAAUUGACGUUACCCGCAGAAGAAGCACCGGCUAACUCCGUGCCAGCAGCCGCGGUAAUACGGAGGGUGCAAGCGUUAAUCGGAAUUACUGGGCGUAAAGCGCACGCAGGCGGUCUGUCAAGUCGGAUGUGAAAUCCCCGGGCUUAACCUGGGAACUGCAUUCGAAACUGGCAGGCUCGAGUCUCGUAGAGGGGGGUAGAAUUCCAGGUGUAGCGGUGAAAUGCGUAGAGAUCUGGAGGAAUACCGGUGGCGAAGGCGGCCCCCUGGACGAAGACUGACGCUCAGGUGCGAAAGCGUGGGGAGCAAACAGGAUUAGAUACCCUGGUAGUCCACGCCGUAAACGAUGUCGACUUGGAGGUUGUGCCCUUGAGGCGUGGCUUCCGGAGCUAACGCGUUAAGUCGACCGCCUGGGGAGUACGGCCGCAAGGUUAAAACUCAAAUGAAUUGACGGGGGCCCGCACAAGCGGUGGAGCAUGUGGUUUAAUUCGAUGCAACGCGAAGAACCUUACCUGGCCUUGACAUCCAGAGAACUUAGCAGAGAUGCUUCGGUGCCUUCGGGAACUCUGAGACAGGUGCUGCAUGGCUGUCGUCAGCUCGUGUUGUGAAA
rnacentral:rRNA from 1 species